CUAUACAUGCAAGUCGAACGGUAACAGGGAUAGCAAUAUCCGCUGACGAGUGGCGCACGGGUGCGUAACACGUAUGCNACCUACCUAUUACAGUGGGAUAGCCCGGAGAAAUUCGGAUUAAUACCGCAUGAUAAUAUUGAAAGGCAUCUUUUGAUAUUUAAAAUUUUCAAUGGUAAUAGAAGGGCAUGCGGCUGAUUAGCUAGUUGGUAGUGUAAUGGACUACCAAGGCAACGAUCAGUAGGGGUUCUGAGAGGAAGGUCCCCCACACUGGUACUGAGAUACGGACCAGACUCCUACGGGAGGCAGCAGUAGGGAAUAUUGGGCAAUGGGCGAGAGCCUGACCCAGCCAUGCCGCGUGCAGGAUGAAGGCCUUCUGGGUUGUAAACUGCUUUUGAUCGGGAACAAAACACCUAUGCGUAGGGAUUUGAGUGUACCGAUAGAAUAAGCACCGGCUAACUCCGUGCCAGCAGCCGCGGUAAU
rnacentral:rRNA from 1 species